rnacentral:rRNA from 1 species
AUUGAACGCUGGCGGCAGGCUUAACACAUGCAAGUCGAGCGGGGAAGGUUGCUUCGGUAACUAACCUAGCGGCGGACGGGUGAGUAAUGCUUAGGAAUCUGCCUAUUAGUGGGGGACAACGUUCCGAAAGGAACGCUAAUACCGCAUACGCCCUACGGGGGAAAGCAGGGGAUCUUCGGACCUUGCGCUAAUAGAUGAGCCUAAGUCGGAUUAGCUAGUUGGUGGGGUAAAGGCCUACCAAGGCGACGAUCUGUAGCGGGUCUGAGAGGAUGAGCCGCCACACUGGGACUGAGACACGGCCCAGACUCCUACGGGAGGCAGCAGUGGGGAAUAUUGGACAAUGGGCGGAAGCCUGAUCCAGCCAUGCCGCGUGUGUGAAGAAGGCAUUUUGGUUGUAAAGCACUUUAAGCGAGGAGGAGGCUCUUAAGGUUAAUACCCUUGAUGAGUGGACGUUACUCGCAGAAUAAGCACCGGCUAACUCUGUGCCAGCCGCCGCCGUAACAC